UACGUAGGGUGCGAGCGUUGUCCGGAAUUAUUGGGCGUAAAGGGCUCGUAGGCGGUGUGUCGCGUCGGCCGUGAAAACCUGCAGCUUAACUGUGGGCGUGCGGUCGAUACGGGCAUCACUGGAGUUCGGCAGGGGAGACUGGAAUUCCUGGUGUAGCGGUGAAAUGCGCAGAUAUCAGGAGGAACACCGGUGGCGAAGGCGGGUCUCUGGGUAGUAACUGACGCUGGAGGAACGAAAUGCGUGGGUAGCGAACAGG
rnacentral:rRNA from 1 species